rnacentral:rRNA from 1 species
AAUUUUGCGCAAUGGGCGAAAGCCUGACGCAGCAACGCCGCGUGAAUGUUAAGCCCUUCGGGGUGUAAAGUUCUGUCAGUGGGGACGAAACUUGACGGUACCCACAGAGGAAGCACCGGCUAACUCCGUGCCAGCAGCCGCGGUAAUACGGAGGGUGCAAGCGUUGUCCGGAAUCAUUGGGCGUAAAGAGUUCGUAGGUGGUAUGUUAAGUCUGGUGUUAAAGCCCGAAGCUCAACUUCGGUUCGGCACUGGAUACUGGCAAACUUGAAUGUGGUAGAGGUAAAGGGAAUUCCUGGUGUAGCGGUGAAAUGCGUAGAUAUCAGGAGGAACAUCGGUGGCGAAAGCGCUUUGCCGGGCCAUUAUUGACGCUGAGGAACGAAAGCCGGGGUAGCAAAUGGG